rnacentral:rRNA from 1 species
GAAACGACUGCUAAGACUGGAUAGGAGACAAGAGGGCAUCUUCUUGUUUUUAAAAGACCUAGCAAUAGGUAUGCUUAGGGAGGAGCUUGCGUCACAUUAGUUAGUUGGUGGGGUAAAGGCCUACCAAGACUAUGAUGUGUAGCCGGGCUGAGAGGUUGAACGGCCACAUUGGGACUGAGACACGGCCCAAACUCCUACGGGAGGCAGCAGUAGGGAAUUUUCGGCAAUGGAGGAAACUCUGACCGAGCAACGCCGCGUGAACGAUGAAGUAUUUCGGUACGUAAAGUUCUUUUAUUAGGGAAGAAUAAAUGAUGGAAAAAUCAUUCUGACGGUACCUAAUGAAUAAGCCCCGGCUAACUAUGUGCCAGCAGCCGCGGUAAUACAUAGGGGGCAAGCGUUAUCCGGAAUUAUUGGGCGUAAAGGGUGCGUAGGCGGUUAAAUAAGUUUAUGGUCUAAGUGCAAUGCUCAACAUUGUGAUGCUAUAAAAACUGUUUAGCUAGAGUAAGAUUGAGGCAAGUGGAAUUCCAUGUGUAGUGGUAAAAUGCGUAAAUAUAUGGAGGAACACCAGUAGCGAAGGCGGCUUGCUGGGUCUUUACUGACGCUGAGGCACGAAAGCGUGGGGAGCAAACAGGAUUAGAUACCCUGGUAGUCCACGCCGUAAACGAUGAGUACUAAACGUUGGGUAAAACCAGUGUUGAAGUUAACACAUUAAGUACUCCGCCUGAGUAGUACGUACGCAAGUAUGAAACUUAAAGGAAUUGACGGGACUCCGCACAAGCGGUGGAUCAUGUUGUUUAAUUCGAAGGUACCCGAAAAACCUCACCAGGUCUUGACAUGCUUCUGCAAAGCUGUAGAAACACAGUGGAGGUUAUCAGUUGCACAGGUGGUGCAUGGUUGUCGUCAGCUCGUGUCGUGAGAUGUUGGGUUAAGUCCCGCAACGAGCGCAACCCUUAUUGUUAGUUACCAGCACGUAAUGGUGGGGACUUUAGCAAGACUGCCAGUGAUAAAUUGGAGGAAGGUGGGGACGACGUCAAAUCAUCAUGCCCCUUAUGACCUGGGCUACAAACGUGAUACAAUGGCUGUUACAAAGGGUAGCUGAAGCGCAAGUUUUUGGCGAAUCUCAAAAAAACAGUCUCAGUUCGGAUUGAAGUCUGCAACUCGACUUCAUGAAGUUGGAAUCGCUAGUAAUCGCGAAUCAGCAUGUCGCGGUGAAUACGUUCUCGGGGUUUGUACACACCGCCCGUCA